UAUGUGCCUGAUAUUGUUUUUUAAAUGUGUUAAUGUAUAACAAGCAGUUGGCAUUAUGUGCCUGACAUUAUGUGUCUUUUAUAAUUUAUAACACCCAGUUGGCAUUAUGUGCCUGACAUUAUGUGUCUUUUAUAAUUAUAACACCCAGUUGGCAUUAUGUGCCUGAUAUUAUGUGUCUUUAAUAAUUUAUAACACCUAGUUGGCAUUAUGUGCCUGACAUGUGUUUUGAUAACAUUACUUGAUAAUUAUAUAUAUUAAAUGGAUAGGUAAUAUAUAAUCAAACUUAUUUCAGCCUGUAAAAUGUCGGAUGUUUGGAUUAUAGGCUCUUCAUUUAUUAGGGAUGCCUUCAAACAGCAUGCCGCAGAAGUGAGGACUUAAAUUUCUUGGUUAUAAUGUUAUAUGGGAAUAUCAGGGGGGCAUGGAAGUUUCUGAUUUAAAACCUUCGAUAGAAUACUUGCUUGAGUUUAAAAAUGCGCAUUUUUUUUGAUAUUACACUGUGGCGCGAACGAUUUAGGAAAUCGACCUUCAGUUGAAAUCAUAUGGGACAUCAAAAACUUUAUAACAGGGACUUUACUGGAAAAAAUGCCUGUUACUACAGAUAUUACCAAGAAGGUCAUGGAGAUAUGUCCAAUGUAACAAAACUGCAAAUAAAACCCGCAUGCGUAUAAAUAGUUGUAUCAGUACAUUUGUUAUUAAACUCGGGGGUUAUUAUAUUCGUUACCCUGAUUGACCUUUUCGAGGACCUAGCUGGGUGCCGUUUUCCGGUACGUUGCCCUUUUAGCUCUGGGGAAUUACACCAAAUGAAGUACAUAACACAGUUACGAGAUAUUUCUAUUUUUCUAUCAUUAUUUAACCGUUUAAGGUGAAAAAAAUUGAUGUUUUUAAAAAUUAUCAAUAUUCGUUUAAUAUCUAUUGCAAAUUAUUUAAAAAAAACAAAACAAAUUGUUUAUAAUGAAAAUCAAUAAAAUUCAAACAGACGUAGUGGAAUCUUCCAUAAUAAAUAAGGUUAUUUUCUGCGUAAACUUGUGUAUUUACUUUAUUUUUGUAUGGAAUUAUUCAUACAAUGAUAUUUAAUUAAUUUCUUAUAAAGAAAUAACUGUUUUAUUUCAAUUUAAUUAAAAAAAAAAAAAAAAAAGGCCGAAAACAUUGAGUUCGCUAUUACACUUCAUUAGGUGAAUUCCCCGGGGCUGUGUACGGAGGGUGCCGGGGGCGGCGUUUGGCUGGGUUUUCGAAUUCGUGAAUAUUACAGAAAACCCUAGGUUGUAUAGGCCGGAUGGCACACAUCUGUCGGACUUUGGUAACCACGUUUUAUUGAAUACAAUAUCGGGCGCUCUCAACACAUUCACGUCCAUGGCUGGGUAGGGCAAAAUUGUAGCUGUGGUAGCCCGCUUUGGCGGAAGCCCACAGUCAAAUGUUUCACUUUGCUUGUUGGCUUUUUGGCAUGUGCUACCACGUUUUUGCAACCGUUGCCGGGGCAAAAACAGUUAUAGUAAAGACAUUUAGUAGUCUUAAAUCGAAACACAUAGACAUUUCAAUAGGUUAAAUAAUUAAAAUGCUUUUAUCCAGCCAUGGCCAUUUUCAUGCCAACACGUUUUUGUUAAUAAAUACCAGUACGUUUUUAGACUGAUUUCUCUUUUCUUUUAUUCCCAAGUUGUAAUGUUUGAAUAAUAUUCGAUUUAUCCGCUAGAGGAUUAAAUCUUUUAUUCAAAUCUUACAACUUAACAUUUUUUAUAAUAACACCCCAGUAGGGCCUCAAAAAGAGUUGUCAGGGGAGACAACUUACACUUGAAUAUGUCAUAUAUAAGGCAGAGCAAAUUCUGGGAACGGUCUUUCAAUCGUGGCUCACCAUAGAAGAGAUAACACUAUAUUAGCACGUCAUGGCUGGAACAGAAAGAUAUAGAAAAAGGAGAAUGCUUAUAAUUCUCAGCGACCGUUAUCGGAGCUGAUCAAUUUGUAAAACAGACAUGUAAAGUGAUUUCAUCAUCUGUACCUGUGUACCCUGAGUUGAAGCAUGUGCUACCACGUUUUUGCAACCGUUGCCGGGGCAAAAACAGUUAUAGUAAAGACAUUUAGUAGUCUUAAAUCGAAACACAUAGACAUUUCAAUAGGUUAAAUAAUUAAAAUGCUUUUAUCCAGCCAUGGCCAUUUUCAUGCCAACACGUUUUUGUUAAUAAAUACCAGUACGUUUUUA